UGGAGCGAUGGUUACCUCUGUUUUGUAGGCUAGUCUUUAAGUGACAUUUAUUUUUAUUAAAGUGGAAGAAAGGUGACAUCGCAGCUUAUAAAAGGUCAAAAUAUGUGAAAAGCACAAAGGGGAAUGACAAACACAAAUAAACUCGUGAUAGCAACUAUUUUUUUUUUUUAUUAAAACUAGCUUACCCGACAGACUACGUCCUGUCAAAAAAAUUUGUAAUGUGGCAGUGUUUUGUUCCUACCUUUUUUAUAUUCUUUGCAAAAAAUUAUCCUGAACAGAACCGUCACCCUGGUAAUAAUUCGGUGUGAAUUAAAAAUAAUUAAAUAAAACACUAUAAGCAUUUAAAAUUCUAUUUUCAUUGUAGUGCUUUGUGAUAAACGAUGUUUUUUGUUUGAUUACCUGGCGCAUACGUGUAGACAAACAAAUCUGAUGGUUUUCCAAUGCGGGAACAGGCAACAUACAAUUGACCAUGUGAGAAACAUGGGUUUUCCAAAUUAAUACCACAAACACUUAAUGAUUGCCCCUGGGAUUUGUUUAUGAUCAUAGCAAAAGCAAGCCGCACUGGAAACUGUAGUCGUUUAAACUCAAAUGGCACAUCAGUCGGAAUCAUUGGGAUGCGCGGUAUGAGAACAUCUUCUCCUUUAUACUUUCCUUUCAAUAUAGUUGCUUCUAUCACUU